CACAACCCCAGCCCCAACGGGCAGAGCACGGUCGUCAGUGAAGCUGAAGGCAAGGACGUGGCUUGCUCUUAUACAGAAUAUUUAUAUUUGGCCUUCCUAUAAUUGAAACCUACCUAAUUAAGGUUUGUUAUGGUUCUUUUCCAAUGUGUCAUGCUUAGAUCCAUUUCAAUCUAUUCUAAAAAACAAAAACACAAAAAAAUGGAAAUUUCUGGUAGGGUUCUAAUAAGUAUAAUCCUGUUACAAGUGUUACCGAAUUGGUCGUUAGUGAAGCUGAAGGCAAGGCCGUGCCUUGCUCUUAUACAGAAUAUUUCUAUUUGGCCUUCCUAUAAUUGAAACCUACCUAAUUAAGGUUUGUUAUGGUUCUUUUCCAAUGUGUCAUGCUUAGAUCCAUUUCAAUUUAUUCUAAAAAAAAACACAAAAAAAUGGAAAUUUCUGGUAGGGUUCUAAUAAGUAUAAUCCUGUU
rnacentral:lncRNA from 1 species